rnacentral:lncRNA from 1 species
UGUUCCCUGACAUGAAUGAAUAGAAAAUCAAGGAAAAAUUAAGAGGAAAAAUUAUGGAAGGCACAUGAUGGACCAGGUUCAUUUCUGCAAGGCAGGGUGAGAAGGUCUACAUCUUCAGAUGCUUAGGAGAAAUACGACUCCAUAUGUAAAGUCCACCAAGGUGCUCAGUGAACAAAAGCUGCACCUAUUGCUUAAGAAGAAGAAAAGAAU